rnacentral:rRNA from 1 species
UACAGAGGGGGCAAGCGUUGUUCGGAAUUACUGGGCGUAAAGGCGCGUAGGCGGCCUGUUAAGUCGAACGUGAAAUCCCCGGGCUCAACCCGGGAACUGCGUCCGAUACUGGCAGGCUUGAAUCCGGGAGAGGGAUGCGGAAUUCCAGGUGUAGCGGUGAAAUGCGUAGAUAUCUGGAGGAACACCGGUGGCGAAGGCGGCAUCCUGGACCGGCAUUGACGCUGAGGCGCGAAAGCGUGGGGAGCAAACAGG